rnacentral:rRNA from 1 species
UACGUAUGGGGCAAGCGUUGUUCGGAAUUACUGGGCGUAAAGGGCGCGUAGGCGGUGUGUCAAGUCAGGCGUGAAAGCCCCGGGCUCAACCUGGGAACCGCGCUUGAGACUGGCACGCUCGAGUUCGGGAGAGGAUGGUGGAAUUCCCAGUGUAGAGGUGAAAUUCGUAGAUAUUGGGAAGAACACCGAUGGCGAAGGCAGCCAUCUGGACCGACACUGACGCUGAGGCGCGAAAGCGUGGGGAGCAAACAGG